rnacentral:rRNA from 1 species
GAUGAACGCUGGCGGCGUGCCUAAUACAUGCAAGUCGAGCGAACAGACGAGGAGCUUGCUCCUCUGACGUUAGCGGCGGACGGGUGAGUAACACGUGGAUAACCUACCUAUAAGACUGGGAUAACUUCGGGAAACCGGAGCUAAUACCGGAUAAUAUAUUGAACCGCAUGGUUCAAUAGUGAAAGACGGUUUUGCUGUCACUUAUAGAUGGAUCCGCGCCGCAUUAGCUAGUUGGUAAGGUAACGGCUUACCAAGGCAACGAUGCGUAGCCGACCUGAGAGGGUGAUCGGCCACACUGGAACUGAGACACGGUCCAGACUCCUACGGGAGGCAGCAGUAGGGAAUCUUCCGCAAUGGGCGAAAGCCUGACGGAGCAACGCCGCGUGAUUGAUGAAGGUCUUCUGAUCGUAAAACUCUGUUAUUAGGGAAGAACAAAUGUGUAAGUAACUAUGCACGUCUUGACGGUACCUAAUCAGAAAGCCACGGCUAACUACGUG